ensembl:lncRNA
UGCUCAGCUCCAGACACCCAAACAGGCUCGUGUUCCAGCUGCAUGGAAUAUUUGAAGCAAAUGACCUGCCCGGGGCUGGGAGCCUGCCCUGUUUAUGUACAGUGCCAUGGCAACGGGGAGGAAGUCGUGGCUCGGGGCUUGGCCCUGAUGGGAUCAACAAAUGAUAUCACAGCGCAGCAGCUCCCAAUAAAUCAGCGGAGCUCUGCUGUUCUUGCCUCCAUCCCAGCCCUGGCAGCGUGUGAGGGGCAGGAAAAGCUGCAGGUUCUGCUCGUGUGCCCUGAGAGCCACCCCUGCCAGCAUCAUCCUCCUCUCCUCCUCUUCCUCGUUGCUGACUCAGCAGGGUCAGCCCUGAGAGCUGCCUGCCUGUGCUGGAGCCUCUCUCAGAGGGCUUUGGCAUCCUGAUGCUCUGCAUGAGCACUGCGGGAGCUUUUGGCUCCUCCUGGGAGUUGUGGAAGCGAUUUGUGUGCAGAAAAGCCUCGAGGGGAGAAGUGCUCAGUGGAGGAGUGGUAAGGAAAUGUGGUGAGGAAAUAUGGUGAGGAAAUGUGGUGAGGAAAUGUGUCAUCCCUCUUUGGCAGCCUUGUCCCCUUGCUGUGGGCAGGUCCCUGUCCUGGGGCAGGUCCCUGUCCUGGUCCCACUCCUGCCCAAAGCUGAGCAUCCUCCCAGCUCUGACAGUGCCAGGACAGGAGCCUGGAGGGGGAGGCAGCCGCCAAUUCUCUGCUUUGUCUGCAGGACUGGGUUUGUUUCUGAGCCCAGACACCUCCCCUGUUGGAGCCCAGGGCCUGCCAAGCCUCUGCCAGCACCAGGGCAGUUUUCCCUUGCCCUGGGAUGCGGGAGCUCAAGGAACGCGCGUCACGCUUUUGGGAACUCAUUUUGGCAGCCACACCUUUUCUCCUGGAGAAGGUUGGUUUUGUUUCAUGAGCUUUGUGGAACCCAGGGGAGCACAGGGAUUCAACAGGCAAGUGAGGAAUUUGAACACUGAGGCUGACAUUGGCCAUUUUUCAUCCUGACCUGGUGCAGGGAUUUCAGGAUUUCAGGAAUUAUUGGCUGUGGUGUUUGGUGACACCAUGGCUCCAAACCAUAUGUUCCACUGUGCUCUUUGUGAAAUGCUGCUGAAUGAAAACUCACUGAAACUGCUGCACAAUGGGAAGUUACAGCAGUGACAGAUUUACAGAAAUGAAAUUUACCACUGAUUGUACAGGGAAACCCAGAAGGAUGGGCACUCAGGGUCCUUAUGUGCAUCCUACUUGGGUAAAUACGAAUGUUUUCAAUGAAUGCUCUCACAGCUGCCAGCUGCCUAUUCCAAAGUGAAGUGCUAUGUGAUAAAUCCCUUUUAUUAAUUAAUUAGCGCUGUGUGAUUAAUCCUUUUUGUUAGAAAGAAGGGGAUUCUCCAUAUUCAAUCUGGCUGGUUUAUUUGCAUUAAAACUCAGGGAAAUGCAGAUGAAAACGGUGAGGGAAGGACAGGAGCCCCUGAGAAGCUGCUCCCACAUCUCAGACCCAGAUCGUGGCAGAUCCCAGACCUGGGAAGGGGAUUUGGGAUCCCUGACAUUCUCAGCAGGCCCUUGGGCACACGGGGCUGUCCUUCCUUGUGUUUGCUCACUGUGUUCUGAACCUGAGCAUGGCCCUUUAUCCCUUCCCUGGGAUAAACUUGUUUUCCUCUCAGGUUGCCUGGCACUGGCGCUGAUCACAAGAACUUUUGGUGAGCACAAGGGGUGUAUCUUUCUCUACAAACAGCAAAGGCAAAUAAAACAAUGUUGUGGUCAAACGGGCGGGGUGUU